UACAGAGGGUGCAAGCGUUGUUCGGAAUUACUGGGCGUAAAGCGCGCGUAGGUGGCGAUGUAAGUCGGGUGUGAAAUCCCUCAGCUUAACUGAGGAAGUGCACUCGAUACUGUGUCGCUUGAGUGUUGGAGGGGAUGGCGGAAUUCCCGGUGUAGAGGUGAAAUUCGUAGAUAUCGGGAGGAACACCUGUGGCGAAGGCGGACAUCUGGACAACUACUGACACUGAGACGCGAAAGCGUGGGUAGCAAACAGG
rnacentral:rRNA from 1 species